GACGAACGCUGGCGGCGUGCCUAAUACAUGCAAGUAGAACGCACAGUUUAUACCGUAGCUUGCUACACCAUAGACUGUGAGUUGCGAACGGGUGAGUAACGCGUAGGUAACCUGCCUGGUAGCGGGGGAUAACUAUUGGAAACGAUAGCUAUACCGCAUAAUAUUGAUUAUUGCAUGAUAAUUGAUUGAAAGAUGCUAUUGCAUCACUACCAGAUGGACCUGCGUUGUAUUAGCUAGUAGGUGAGGUAACGGCUCACCUAGGCGACGAUACAUAGCCGACCUGAGAGGGUGAUCGGCCACACUGGGACUGAGACACGGCCCAGACUCCUACGGGAGGCAGCAGUAGGGAAUCUUCGGCAAUGGACGAAAGUCUGACCGAGCAACGCCGCGUGAGUGAAGAAGGUUUUCGGAUCGUAAAGCUCUGUUGUAAGAGAAGAACGGGUGUGAGAGUGGAAAGUUCACACUGUGACGGCAUCUUACCAGAAAGGGACGGCUAACUACGUG
rnacentral:rRNA from 1 species